rnacentral:rRNA from 1 species
GCUCAACCGAGGAAGUGCUUCGAAAACUGGUAAACUUGAGUGCAGAAGAGGAAAGUGGAACUCCAUGUGUAGCGGUGGAAUGCGUAGAUAUAUGGAAGAACACCAGUGGCGAAGGCGGCUUUCUGGUCUGUAACUGACGCUGAGAUUCGAAAGCAUGGGUAGCAAACAGGAUUAGAUACCCCGGUAGUCCAUGCCGUAAACGAUGAGUGCUAAGUGUUGGAGGGUUUCCGCCCUUCAGUGCUGCAGCUAACGCAUUAAGCACUCCGCCUGGGGAGUACGAUCGCAAGAUUGAAACUCAAAGGAAUUGACGGGGGCCCGCACAAGCGGUGGAGCAUGUGGUUUAAUUCGAAGUAACGCGAAGAACCUUACCAGGUCUUGACAUACCAUGAAAAGCUAAGAGAUUAGUCUUUCCCUUCGGGGACAUGGAUACAGGUGGUGCAUGGUUGUCGUCAGCUCGUGUCGUGAGAUGUUGGGUUAAGUCCCGCAACGAGCGCAACCCUUAUUAUCAGUUGCCAGCAUUCAGUUGGGCACUCUGGUGAGACUGCCGGUGACAAACCGGAGGAAGGUGGGGACGACGUCAAAUCAUCAUGCCCCUUAUGACCUGGGCUACACACGUGCUACAAUGGUCGGUACAACG